GCGAGCGCGCGGGGGACGUAGGGCGCCGACCUGGGGCUCCCCGGCGCUCCGGCUCCGCUCAGGGCGCCCGCUCAGGGGCCUCCGGCGCGAGGCCCCCUUUCUGGUCAAGAUGGCGGCGUCCAGGCGGGCGGCGCCGAGGUGAGCUGGAGCUGGGCCCGGAGAGGGACGAGUCUGCCAAGCCCAGGACUUGGACCCCGGGCUGGUCUCCAGUCUCCCGGGGAGCGGCAGGUUAAUUAUCUGAGAAGAGUAUUGUGCCAGCACACUUGAUGCUACAGUAUUUCAUGUUUGACAGCUGUCGAUUCCUUCUCUUGUUCUGGAUGGAAGAUAGCAACGAAGCCACUUCAAAGGGCUCAGCCUGCCUUUUUGUGUUAUUGUUUAGAUGAAGAUAUUUCCAUUUAUUAAAGCACACUAUUUAAACAUUUUUAUCAUGUUUCAAACUUGACUGUGUUCUGAAGGUGUGAGCACAGGCAGACAUAAUGGGGGAUGUUUUCCAGGAGAGAACAUACCCUUAUCAAAGGAAUUAUCAGAAUUUUCAUGUAUGGAUUGAGAAUCAAAUUCUGGAGUUAGACCUGAAUUUAAAUUCAUACUCACAACUUAUUACCAGUCUCAUCUUGAUCAAACAGUUACCACACUUCUCAUCAAUUUCCUUAUCUUUGAAAGCGGAAUAAGAGAAGUAUGCCUGGUGGAGUUACACAUAAAGCUCAUCUGAUAGAAUAUUCAUAAGGAUUUUGCACAAAAUAUACAUGGAAAUAUUUUAGC